UACGGGGGGGGCAAGCGUUGUUCGGAAUUACUGGGCGUAAAGGGUGCGUAGGUGGCUUGCUAAGUCAGACGUGAAAUCCCUCAGCUUAACUGGGGAACUGCGUCUGAUACUGGCGAGCUUGAGUGCAGGAGAGGAACGCAGAAUUCCAGGUGUAGCGGUGAAAUGCGUAGAUAUCAGGAGGAACACCGGUGGCGAAGGCGGUUCUCUGGGCAUUACCUGACGCUGAGGAGCGAAAGUGUGGGGAGCGAACAGG
rnacentral:rRNA from 1 species